rnacentral:rRNA from 1 species
GACGUAGGGCGCGAGCGUUGUCCGGAUUUAUUGGGCGUAAAGAGCUCGUAGGCGGCCCUCCACGUCGGAUGUGAAAGCUCAGGGCUCAACCCUGAGAUGCCAUUCGAUACGGGAAGGCUAGAGGUAGGUAGGGGAAAGUGGAAUUCCUGGUGUAGCGGUGAAAUGCGCAGAUAUCAGGAGGAACACCGGUGGCGAAGGCGGCUUUCUGGGCCUUACCUGACGCUGAGGAGCGAAAGCUGGGGGAGCGAGCAGG